rnacentral:rRNA from 1 species
UGAAUACGAGAUGCUACGGCGUCGAAGCAGUCUAUGUCAUACUUCCAAGAAAAGCUCGCACUGUCAUAAACAAAUAAUGCCUGUACCAUAACCGACACAGGUGGGUAGGUAGAGUAUACUAAGGGGCGCGAGAUAACUCUCUCUAAGGAACUCGGCAAAAUGACUCCGUAACUUCGGGAGAAGGAGUGCCUUAUUUAUAAGGUUGCAAUAACAAGAUCCAAGCAACUGUUUAUCAAAAACACAGGUCUCCGCUAAGUCGUAAGACGAUGUAUGGGGGCUGACGCCUGCCCAGUGCCAGAAGGUUAAAGAAGUUGGUUAGCAUUCGCGAAGCUAAUAACUGAAGCCCUGGUGAACGGCGGCCGUAACAAUAACGGUCCUAAGGUAGCGAAAUUCCUUGUCGGGUAAGUUCCGACCCGCACGAAAGGCGUAAUGAUUUGGAUACUGUCUCGGAGAGGGGCUCGGUGAAAUAGACUCGUCUGUGAAGAUGCGGACUACCUGCACCAGGACAGAAAGACCCUAUGAAGCUUUACUGUAACUUGAGAUUGAAAUUGGACUUUACUUGCGCAGUAUAGGUGGGAGGCGUUGAUAAUAUUCUUGCGGGAUUAUUUGAGCCAUCAGUGAGAUACCACUCUUGUAAUGUUAGAUUUCUAACUUUGUAUCAUUAUCUGGUCAAAGGACAGUUUCAGGCGGGCAGUUUGACUGGGGCGGUCGCCUCCUAAACGGUAACGGAGGCGCACAAAGGUUUCCUCUGAACGGGUAGAAAUCGUAUCUAGAGUGUAAAGGCAUAAGGAAGCUUGACUGUGAGACCUACAAGUCGAGCAGGGACGAAAGUCGGUCUUAGUGAUCUGACGGUGCUGAGUGGAAAGGCCGUCACUCAACGGAUAAAAGUUACUCUAGGAUAACAGGCUGAUCUCCCCCAAGAGUUCACAUCGACGGGGAGGUUUGGCACCUCGAUGUCAGCUCAUCGCAUCCUGGGGCGGUAGUACGUCCCAAGGGUUGGGCUGUUCGCCCAUGAAAGCGGUACGCGAGCUGGGUUCAGAACGUCGUGAGACAGUUCGGUCCAUAUCCGGUGUAGGCGUUAGAAUAUUGAGAGGAGCCUUCUUUAGUACGAGAGGACCGAGAAGGACAUACCUCUGGUGUACCAGUUAUCGUGCCAACGGUAAACGCUGGGUAGCUAUGUAUGGAGUGGAUAACCGCUGAAAGCAUCCAAGUGGGAAGCCCACCUCAAGAUAAGUAUUCUCU